AUUUCAGCUCUGGAUAUGAAGGGAAGGACGUUGUUGUUGAGAACUUGAGGCAGUUGUGUGUUUUUAAAGUGGCCAAUGAGACAAAUAAGCCAUGGGUGUGGUGGGAUUAUGUGACUGAUUUUCAGAUUCGGUGUCCCAUGAAGGAGAAAAAAUAUAACAAGGAAUGUGCUGAUGCUGUUAUCAAAUCUUUAGGUCUUGAUUCAAGAAAGAUUGAGAAGUGUAUGGGAGACCCUAAUGCUGAUGAGGACAACCCCGUUCUGAAAGAAGAGCAGGAUGCCCAAAUUGGUAAAGGAACAAGAGGAGAUGUCACCAUCUUACCUACUCUUGUUGUCAACAAUCGACAA
rnacentral:misc_RNA from 1 species